rnacentral:rRNA from 1 species
CGUGUAGGCGGUCAGGUAAGUGGAAUGUGAAAUGCCCCGGCUCACCCGGGGACCGGCAUCCCAAACUGCCUGGCUUGAGUAUGGGAGAGGAUGGAGGAAUUCCUGGUGUAGCGGUGAAAUGCGUAGAUAUCAGGAGGAACACCGGUGGCGAAGGCGUCCAUCUGGCCCAAUACUGACGCUGAGGCGCGAAAGCUAGGGGAGCAAACA